UACGGGGGGAGCAAGCGUUGUUCGGAUUUACUGGGCGUAAAGGGCGCGUAGGCGGCCAGCACAAGUCAGUUGUGAAAUCUCCGAGCUUAACUCGGAAAGGUCAACUGAUACUGUGCGGCUAGAGUGCGGAAGGGGCAACUGGAAUUCUUGGUGUAGCGGUGAAAUGCGUAGAUAUCAGGAGGAACACCGGUGGCGAAGGCGGGUCUCUGGGCCGAUACUGACGCUGAGGAGCGAAAGCGUGGGGAGCAAACAGG
rnacentral:rRNA from 1 species